UUGAUACAAAAUUCUUUAUACUAUCUACAAUAAGAUCAAUAUUUCUGAUCGAAAAUUUUAGCACUAUAUCACUACUUUUUAUAGGAUUUUUACUUUCAGUCGUUAAAAACUAUUGAUUUUGAAUCCUUUCAAUUGAUAGAUAAAUAAUAUCAAAAAAUCGCAAAAAUUAUUUUCUAGAAACUUCAAAUACGCUAGAUCAUGUCUAACGGAGCUGAUCGUCGAUUCGAAAAUUCCAUCAUCGAAAACGGCUUAGGAGCACGAAGGCCUCUGUGCUCCUAAGAGCACAGCAGCCCUACUCUAUAUAUAUAUAUAGAGAGAGAGAGAGAAAGAGAGAGAGAGAGAGAGAGGGAGCUAGGCUGGUAUACUAUCGAUAGCACGGAGGCCUCCGUGCUACCAAGUUGUUUUCGAUGAUGUGGCUUUCAAAUCGACGAUCGGCUCCGUUAUACUCGAUCUACACUAUUGAAAGUAUUUGAAAACUAAAUUUUAUAAUUUUUCGGUAUCAUUUACCUGUCAAACGAAUUGUCUUAAAAUGAGCGGCUGAAAAUAAAAAUCUCAUAAAAAUUAAUGAUAAAAGACUUGAAUUUAAGAUCAGAGGUACUGAUCUUACUCUAAAUAUUUUAAAAAAAUUUCUAUAAAAAUUUCACCAGAUUUGGAUUGUUGUACACUAUUAAAUUCACAAACGCAUCACAUCUACCAUUAAAAUUGUCAAUUUUGAGACCUUUUGAUCAUUAGCCAAAUGAUGUCGAAAAAUUAUAAAAUUUAGUUACCAAAUACUUUUAAUAGUAUAGAUCAAGUCUAACGGAGCCGAUCGUCGAUUUAGAAGCCGCAUCAUUGAAAAUAACUUGGUAGCACGGAGGCCUCCGUAUAUGAGUCCGACUGGGAUACUAUAGAUAGUACCAAGGACUUUGUGCUAUUUAGUUUUCCACCGUUAGAUUUAACCCUUUGAUUAUUUAUAUCCGUUAGAUUAUAUUAUUCAACCAACCGCCCACUCAACCUUAGGGGGCCCAUAUCAUCCUAAUUAACCGCACAUUUCUCAAUCCAAUGGCUAAAAAACUAAUAGCACCAAUAGCUUGGUAAGCACGAAGACCUCCGUGCUCCUGAGAGCACAGCAGCCCUACUCUCUCUCUCUCUCUCUCUCUCUCUCUCUCUCUCUCUCUCUCUCUAUAUAUAUAUAUAUAUAUAUAUAUAUAUAUAUAGAGUUGAGCUAUGAUACUUUUACAAGUAUCACCAUUAUGGUGCUAUUAGGUUUUAAGCCAUUGGAUCUACUUUUUGAUUAUUAAUAGUCCUUGGAUUAAACAUUAAUCCACUUACCACCACCUACCACCGUCAUCUCAACCUCACAUUUCUCUAUCCAAGGGCUAAAAACACACAAGUAUCACCCCCCUGAUAUUUUUACAAGUAUCCUAGCCCUAUUCUAUAUAUAUAUAUAUAU
rnacentral:lncRNA from 1 species